GAUGAAGAACGUAGCGAAAUGCGAUAAGUAGUGUGAAUUGCAGAAUUCAGUGAAUCAUCGAAUCUUUAAACGCACAUUGCGCCCCUUGGUAUUCCAUGGGGCAUGCCUGUUCGAGCGUCAUUUGUACCCUCAAGCUUUGCUUGGUGUUGGGUGUUUGUCCCGCGCUCUUUUGCGCAAGACUCGCCUUAAAUCAAUUGGCAGCCGGCAUGUUAGCCUGGAGCGCAGCACAUUUUGCGCCCCUUGCUUGCUUGUGUUGGCCCCCAUCAAGUCCAUAUAUUUGCUCUUGACCUCGGAUCAGGUAGGGAUACCCGCUGAACUUAAGCAUAUCAAUAAGCGGAGGA
rnacentral:misc_RNA from 1 species